rnacentral:lncRNA from 1 species
CCGGGAAUUGUGGGGAUCCCUGGGAUCCAUCCGGGAAUUGUGGGGAUUGUGGGGAUCCUUGGGAUCCAUCUGGGAAUUCUGGGGAUCCCUGGGAUCCAUCCGGGAAUUGUGGGAAUUCUGGGGAUCCCUGGGAUCCAUCCUGGAAUUGUGGGAAUUCUGGGGAUCCCUGGGAUCCAUCCGGGAAUUGCGGGGAUCCCUGGGAAUCCCUGGGAUCCAUCUGGGAAUUCUGGGGAUCCUUGAGAUCAAUCCGGGGUCUCUGGGAAUUGUGGGGAUCCCUGGGAUGAAUUUGGGAAUUCUGGGGAUCCCUGGGAUCAAUUCGGGAAUUCUGGGAAUUGUGGGGAUCCCUGGGGAUCCUUGGGAUCCAUCCGGGAAUUGUGGGGAUUGUGGGGAUCCUUGGGAUCCAUCUGGGAUCUCUGGGAAUUCUGGGAAACCCUGGGAUCCAUCUGGGAAUUCUGGGGAUCCUUGCGAUCAAUCCGGGGUCUCUGGGAAUUGUGGGGAUCCCUGGGAUCCAUCAGGAAUCUCUGGGAAUUCUGAGGGCCCCUGGGAUCCAUCCAGGAGUUGUGGGAAUCCCUGGGAUCCAUCUGGGAAUUGUGGGGAUCCCUGGGAUCCAUCUGGGAUCUCUGGGAAUUCGGGGCUGGAAUUCUUGGGAAUUCUGGAAGCGUUUCCCGAGGGGUUUUGGGUCCAUCCAGGAUCCCUGGGAAUUCUGCCUGGGGCUCUUCCCAAGGAGCUCUGGAUCCAUUCAGGAUCUCUGGGAAUUCUGGGCUGGGAUCCUUUGGAAUUUUGGGAGCGCUUCCUGAGGGGUUCUGGAUCCAUCCAGGAUCUCUGGGGAUUCCGAGCUGGGAUCCCUGGGAAUUCUGGGGGUGCUUCUGGAUCCAUCUGGGAUCUGUGGGAAUUCCACACUGGGUUCCUUGGGAAUUCUGGGAGCACUUCCCGAGGGGUUCUGGAUCCAUCUGGGAAUUGUGGGGAUCCCUGGGAUCCAUCCCGGAUCCCUGGGAAUUCUGGGCUGGGAUAUUUGGGAAUUCUGGGGCACUUCCUGAGGAUCUUUGGAUCCAUCCAGGAUCCCUGGGAAUUCUGGAGGUGCCUCUGGAUCCAUCUGGGAUCUCUGGAAAUUCCGGGGGCUCUUCCCGAGGGGCUCGGGGUCCAUCCCUGCGCAGAUUCCAGGCUGGGAAUUUGGGAAGACCACGGCAAAUCCCAAUCCCGGCUCCUUUUCCAGGCAGCUGGGCCUGAAGGAAUUCCCGGUGGAGAAGAGAUGGGCGGGAAUCUUCCAGCAAUUCCAGGAAUUUCUCCACUCCGGCUGCAAGGAGGAAACCGAGGAAUUCUUCACGGGAUUCAACAUCCAAACGGGAAAGGAGCUGAGGAAAUCCCGGGAAUUCCUGUUGGGCCAGGGAGGCGCCGAGGAGCUCUCCUGGAGAAACGGGAAUUUCCCGGAGGAGCUGGGCCGGGAGCCCGAGGAGCUGCGGAGAUUCCUGGAGAAGGUAAAGACGGGAAUGAUUCCCAAAUCCAAACGAUCGACCUUCCCUAAUUAAUCGGUUAUUAAUAAAUGAUUUAAUGGAAUAAUUAAAUAUUAAAAU